AAAUUGAAGAGUUUGAUCAUGGCUCAGAUUGAACGCUGGCGGCAGGCCUAACACAUGCAAGUCGAACGGUAGCACAGAGAGCUUGCUCUCGGGUGACGAGUGGCGGACGGGUGAGUAAUGUCUGGGAAACUGCCCGAUGGAGGGGGAUAACUACUGGAAACGGUAGCUAAUACCGCAUAACGUCGCAAGACCAAAGUGGGGGACCUUCGGGCCUCACACCAUCGGAUGUGCCCAGAUGGGAUUAGCUAGUAGGUGGGGUAACGGCUCACCUAGGCGACGAUCCCUAGCUGGUCUGAGAGGAUGACCAGCCACACUGGAACUGAGACACGGUCCAGACUCCUACGGGAGGCAGCAGUGGGGAAUAUUGCACAAUGGGCGCAAGCCUGAUGCAGCCAUGCCGCGUGUAUGAAGAAGGCCUUCGGGUUGUAAAGUACUUUCAGCGAGGAGGAAGGCGUUGUGGUUAAUAACCACAGCGAUUGACGUUACUCGCAGAAGAAGCACCGGCUAACUCCGUGCCAGCAGCCGCGGUAAUACGGAGGGUGCAAGCGUUAAUCGGAAUUACUGGGCGUAAAGCGCACGCAGGCGGUUUGUUA
rnacentral:rRNA from 1 species